rnacentral:lncRNA from 1 species
CGAGGCACGCCUCCCUGGAGAGGGCUGCUUUUCAGCGCAGGGCUGACAGCUGCUGUGAGCCAGGUCUGUCUCUCCUUCAUGCAUCUUCCUGAAGGACACGAUAGGACCCGGGCCAGGGUUUCCUUUCCACUACCUGGAAGGUUCAAAGCCAAACUCAAAUGGCCGAUGUUCUUAGAAAGCUGGCUCAAACCACAGUUGCUCCAGUGUUCUUAGCAGGCGCAAGGCCGUGUUCCUCAGCUGGACCAGCUCUGAGCUAAGCAAAGUCACUUCAGUUAGGAGGCCAGGAGUCAUGUUUGAAUCUGGCUUGCACAAGCACAAAUGGGCAUGUGUGGUGUGAGUACUUCCAAUGACGGUGCUGACAAUGACAAUGUUGGCCCUUGGUAAGCCUGGCUGGAGGUGCCUUCGUGAGUUCUUCACUCAUCUCUCACAUGAGGCCACUCUUUGUCCCAGCGAUACACCAAUGAUGUCUUGAGUCCUAGUGGGUCUCCCAGGAGUGGGGGCAGUGAGGGUGGGUCUGGGAUUCACAGCCAGCGAGCGACACACACAUGAUCCACAUCACCAGUUCUUCUUGCCAUAGUGGAAAUGGCAGAAGGGAGGGGAAAGGAAUCAGUGUUAGUGGGGAGAACCAGGCAAAGGUUAAUGCUGUGGAGCUACACUUUUGUCCCAGUUUAUAUGGGUCCAAGACAGCCCCUGCCCCCUUACCUGCUUUUCCCAAGUUGGCACAUUUUUCUUCUGUGGAUGACUGGACUGGGGAAGGCCCCUGCCCCUUUACGGUCAGUGUGAGACAGAUUCGAGGUGUAGGGACAUAAACCAAAAGGAAGGCUGUGACAGUGCUGGCCUGGAAAUGGUUUAACUGAGGACAAAGUGAGACACUGAGUAUUUGCUUCCUCCGUGAUUAACUCAUCAGUAAAUCCAGAUAUGCGGUCUCAGGGGGCAACCUCUGCAGCCCAUUAUCAUGAAGGCUCAUGUACCCUGGGAAGUGAUUCCCCUGCUAUUUUAUACAAGCUGAG